rnacentral:misc_RNA from 1 species
GAUGAAGAACGCAGCGAAAUGCGAUAAGUAGUGUGAAUUGCAGAAUUCAGUGAAUCAUCGAAUCUUUGAACGCACAUUGCGCCCUUUGGUAUUCCUUAGGGCAUGCCUGUUCGAGCGUCAUUUAAACCUUCAAGCUCAGCUUUGUGUUGGGUGACUGUCCGCUUCACCGCGGACUCGCCUCAAAAUUAUUGGCGGCCGGUACAUUGGCUCUCGAGCGCAGCAGAAACGCGUAACUCGAGGUCCUCGUGCUGGCUCCCAGAAGCUAUCUUCACAAUUUUGACCUCGGAUCAGGUAGGGAUACCCGCUGAACUUAAGCAUAUCAAUAAGCGGAGGA